rnacentral:rRNA from 1 species
GGAAACAGGGAGUGCCCUUCGGGAACCCGGUGACAGGUGCUGCAUGGCUGUCGUCAGCUCGUGUCGUGAGAUGUUGGGUUAAGUCCCGCAACGAGCGCAACCCUUGUCUUUAAUUGCCAUCAUUUAGUUGGGCACUUUAAAGAGACUGCCGGUGUUAAGCCGGAGGAAGGUGGGGAUGGCGUCAGGUCAUCAUGGCCCUUACGGCCAGGGCUACACACGUGCUACAAUGGCGCGCACAGAGGGCUGCAAACCCGCGAGGGGGAGCUAAUCUCACAAAACGCGUCGUAGUCCGGAUCGCAGUCUGCAACUCGACUGCGUGAAGUCGGAAUCGCUAGUAAUCGUGAAUCAGAAUGUCACGGUGAAUACGUUCCCGGGCCUU